AUUGAACGCUGGCGGCAUGCCUUACACAUGCAAGUCGAACGGUAGAGGGGCAACCCUUGAGAGUGGCGAACGGGUGAGUAAUAUAUCGGAACGUGCCCAGUCGUGGGGGAUAACGCAGCGAAAGCUGCGCUAAUACCGCAUACGAUCUAUGGAUGAAAGCGGGGGAUCGCAAGACCUCGCGCGAUUGGAGCGGCCGAUAUCAGAUUAGGUAGUUGGUGGGGUAAAAGCCCACCAAGCCGACGAUCUGUAGCUGGUCUGAGAGGACGACCAGCCACACUGGGACUGAGACACGGCCCAGACUCCUACGGGAGGCAGCAGUGGGGAAUUUUGGACAAUGGGCGCAAGCCUGAUCCAGCAAUGCCGCGUGCAGGACGAAGGCCUUCGGGUUGUAAACUGCUUUUGUACGGAGCGAAACGGUCUGGGUUAAUACCCUGGGCUAAUGACGGUACCGUAAGAAUAAGCACCGGCUAACUACGUGCCAGCAGCCGCGGUAAUAC
rnacentral:rRNA from 1 species